GCCCUGGUAGCUCAAUUGGUUAGAGCGUCGGACUUUUAUCGGCUCAAACUUAUAAAAUGCCAUCCGAAGGCUGCGGGUUCGACCCCCGCCUGGGGCG